rnacentral:tRNA from 1 species
GAGAUUCUAGUAAAAUAAUAUCACAUUGCCUUGUCAGGGCAAAAUUGUGGGUUUAAACCCCACGAAUCUUA